rnacentral:tRNA from 1 species
GUUUCUCAUUAUACAGACUGCAAACCUGUAAAAGCACUAGUGCGAGAAUCU